CCGGCCGAUGAAAAAGGCUGCUGACACGUGGAGAGAGACAGAGCCACUGCCUUUAUUGGAACAAAACCCUAAAACAGAUCAUGUAUGCCAGGGCUAUGUGGGUGGAGCAUGGCAAGGAAGUGGAGGGAACUGCCCCAGACAACUGGAUUGAUGUUGACAAGAAAACUAUUAGAUGGCCAAAAAAAGGGGAAAAGGCAGCUUUCCUCAAUAAACACCCCCCUCAGGAUGACUGGAUGACAUUCACCUUGGUGAAGCGUAAAAUGACUUCCGUAAACAUUUGUGAAUGCGAUGAUUAUGACAUGACAAGCUAUGUCGAGGAGGAAGAGCAGGAAAAUGAGGAAGUAAGAGGAAGGAG